rnacentral:rRNA from 1 species
GACGAACGCUGGCGGCGUGCUUAACACAUGCAAGUCGAACGGAAAGGCCCUGCUUUUGUGGGGUGCUCGAGUGGCGAACGGGUGAGUAACACGUGAGUAACCUGCCCUUGACUUUGGGAUAACUUCAGGAAACUUGGGCUCAUACCGGAUAGGAGCUCCUGCUGCAUGGUGGGGGUUGGAAAGUUUCGGCGGUUGGGAUGGACUGGCGGCCUAUCAGCUUGUUGGUGGGGUAGUGUCUUACCAAGGCAUUGACGGGUAGCCGGCCUGAGAGGGUGACCCGCCACAUCGGGACUGAGAUACGGCCCAGACUCCUACGGGAGGCAGCAGUGGGGAAGAUUGCACAAUGGGCGGAAGCCUGAUGCAGCAACGCCGCGUGCGGGAUGACGGCCUUCGGGUUGUAAACCGCUAUCGCCUGUGACGAAGCGUGAGUGACGGUAAUGGGUAAAGAAGCACCGGCUAACUACGUG